rnacentral:tRNA from 1 species
UGUUCAGUGGCUUAGUUGGUCAAAGCGCCGGUCUAACGAAAUCAGAGUCGUGAGUUCGAAUUUCACCAGAACAG